rnacentral:lncRNA from 1 species
UUUAACACACUUCAACAUACUUUAUUGGGUACCUUCCGUGUGCCAGGCACGGUUUUGUCUAUGCAGUUUUACAGGGUUUGGCAUCUAUGUUAAACAGGACCCCAGGGACAUCUGUCUCCACAGCAAUGGCUCCAGUGCUGGGCCAUGGGUUGAUGUAAGUCGUGUGCCCUCAUGAGCACAGCCGGUGCCCAAUGUGUGGUUCUCAGUUGGGAAGACCGUUUCUCCAUUAGGUACCUGGGUACAGCUUUUGAUAGCCCUGCCCAGCCCAGGAUUCGCCUCUGAGCUCACCUGUGCUUUGGUGGACAGUCAAAAGGAGCUUCGCUUCCCACAAUGCAGGUUUUACUCCACAAAACCCCUCAGCCUGUACGAAGACCAGCCCACAAGUGACCAGAAUUCAAGGAAGACUGAGGCAAACCUCACUGAUGAGGGUCUGGAUCCAAUGGGGACAUACUGCAGCCUCCCCUCCUCUCCUUCCUCAGCAGGACUGUUCUGAUGGAUCUGCCUGGCUCCUUCAAUGACUCCAACGG